rnacentral:tmRNA from 1 species
GGGGGCGAACAGGUUUCGACGGGGAUGAUGAUCCUCGAGUUGCGUGUCCGGGAUCCUGCUACCCGGUUAUCACUCGCAGGGAAUUUUUAAACGCCAAUGAUAACGCGUUUGCUCUGGCUGCAUAGUUAGCCAGCGGCCCCCCGGCGGCUCGUCCGUGGCUUCGGGAUCGGUUGCUAUAAACCACGGGCUGGUCACGUCUUCAUGCUCAGGGGCGACGUGACGAGAUUUUCUGAGCUCGGGCGAUGAAACGCUGGCCGUGGCGGCUCAUCGUCUUAGAUUAAAUCACGGCGACUACACACGUAGACGCUCGCAGGUGACCGUUUUCGGACCGGGGUUCGACUCCCCGCGCCUCCACCA